rnacentral:snoRNA from 1 species
CUCCAAAGUGUUGAGUUCAGUUCAGGGUGACUUCCUUGUUCUGUUAAUUAAACUUUGGAACAUUGAAACAGGCUAGGAGAAAU